rnacentral:rRNA from 1 species
UACAGAGGUCCCAAGCGUUGUUCGGAUUCACUGGGCGUAAAGGGUGCGUAGGCGGUCGGGUAAGUCUGAUGUGAAAUCUCUGGGCUCAACCCAGAAAUGGCAUUGGAUACUAUUCGGCUAGAGGAGUGGAGGGGGGACUGGAAUACUUGGUGUAGCAGUGAAAUGCGUAGAUAUCAAGUGGAACACCAGUGGCGAAGGCGAGUCCCUGGACACUUCCUGACACUGAGGCACGAAAGCUAGGGGAGCAAACAGG